GACGAACGCUGGCGGCGUGCUUAACACAUGCAAGUCGAACGGAAAGGCCCUGCUUGCAGGGUACUCGAGUGGCGAACGGGUGAGUAACACGUGGGUGAUCUGCCCUGCACUUCGGGAUAAGCCUGGGAAACUGGGUCUAAUACCGGAUAGGAGCCAUUUUUAGUGUGAUGGUUGGAAAGUUUUUUCGGUGUAGGAUGAGCUCGCGGCCUAUCAGCUUGUUGGUGGGGUAAUGGCCUACCAAGGCGGCGACGGGUAGCCGGCCUGAGAGGGUGGACGGCCACAGUGGGACUGAGAUACGGCCCAGACUCCUACGGGAGGCAGCAGUGGGGAAUAUUGCACAAUGGGCGCAAGCCUGAUGCAGAGACGCCGCGUGGGGGAUGACGGCCUUCGGGUUGUAAACUCCUUUCGCUAGGGACGAAGCUUUUUGUGACGGUACCUAGAUAAGAAGCACCGGCUAACUACGUG
rnacentral:rRNA from 1 species